GGCAGGAUCCUCUCUCCUACCUUUUCCCAUAGCCAGUGCCUUUGGCGCACUGAGGUGCACCAGGUCCCUUAGCCCGGCGCCGAGCGCGCAGCCCAGGCUGAGACCCGCGGCUCCUGUGGAAGUGAGCAUGGCUGGGCAGUGCGUGCUGCUUCUAGUGGGGUUCCUUCUCCCUGGGGUCCUGCUGUCAGAGGCCGCCAAAAUCCUGACAAUAUCUACAGUAGGUGGAAGCCAUCAUCUACUGAUGGACCGGGUUUCUCAGAUUCUUCAAGGUCAUGGUCAUAAUGUCACCAUGCUUAACCACAAAAGAGGUCCUGUUAUGCCAGAUUUUAAAAAGGAGGAAAAAUCAUACCAAGUUAUCGGUUGGCUUCCACCUGAAGAUCAUCAAAGAGAAUUUAAGAAGAGUUUCAAUUUCUUUCUGGAAGAAGCUUUAUGUGGAAGAGAAAAAUUUGAAAACUUAUUAAACAUUCUAGAAUACUUGGCUUUGCAGUGCAAUCAUUUUUUAAGGAGAAAGGAUAUCAUGGAUUCCUUAAAGAAUGAGAACUUCGACAUGGUGAUAGUUGAAACUUUUGACUACUGUCCCUUCCUGAUUGCUGAGAAGCUUGAGAAGCCAUUUGUGGCCAUUCUUCCCACCUCAUUCAGCUCUUUGGAAUUUGGGCUACCAAGCCCUUUGUCUUAUGUGCCAGUAUUCCAUUCCUUUCUGACUGAUCACAUGGACUUCUGGGGCCGAGUAAAAAAUUUUCUGAUGUCCUUUAGUUUCUGCAGGAGGCAAUGGCACCAGCAGUCUGUAUUUGACAACACCAUCAAGGAGCAUUUCACAGAAGGCUCUAGGCCGGUUUUGUCUCAUCUUCUACGGAAAGCAGAGUUGUGGUUCGUUAACUCUGACUUUGCCUUUGAUUUUGCCCAGCCCCUGCUUCCCAACACUGUUUAUGUUGGGGGCUUGAUGGAAAAACCUAUUAAGCCAGUUCCACAAGACUUGGAAAACUUCAUUGCCAAGUUUGGGGACUCUGGUUUUGUCCUUGUGGCCUUGGGCUCCAUGGUGAACACCUGUCAGAAUCAGGAAAUCUUCGAGGAGAUGAACAAUGCCUUUGCCCACCUACCCCAAGGGGUGAUAUGGAAGUGUCAGUGUUCUCAUUUGCCCAAAGAUGUCCACCUGGCUGCAAAUGUGAAAAUUGUGGACUGGCUUCCUCAGAGUGACCUCCUGGCUCACCCCAGCAUCCGUCUAUUUGUCACUCAUGGUGGGCAGAAUAGCAUAAUGGAGGCCAUCCAGCAUGGUGUGCCCAUGGUGGGGAUCCCUGUCUUUGGAGACCAGCCUGAAAACAUGAUCCGAGUAGAAGUCAAAAAGUUUGGUGUCUCUAUUCCAUUAAAGAAGCUCAAGGCAGAGACACUGGCUCUGAAGAUGAAACAAAUCAUGGAAGACGAGAGGUACAAAUCUGCAGCAGUGGCUGCCAGCAUCAUCCUGCGUUCCCACCCUCUCAGCCCCGCGCAGCGGCUAGUGGGCUGGAUUGACCAUGUUCUCCAAACAGGUGGGGCGGCACACCUCAAGCCCUAUGUCUUCCAGCAGCCCUGGCAUGAACAAUACCUGCUCGAUGUUUUUGCAUUUCUGCUGGGGCUCACUCUGGGCACUCUGUGGCUUUGUAGGGGGCUGCUGGGCAUGGCUGUCUGGUGGCUGCGUGGGGCCAGAAAGGUGAAGGAGACAUAAGGCCAGGUACAGCCUUGGCAGGUCUGUUUGGUGGGUGAUGUCACCGUUUCUAGGGGGCUUCCCACUAGUUUUGGCAGUCCUGUUCUCCAGUCCUUCUAGUUAGCUCCUGUUUUCUUGAAGAACAGGAAAAACGGACAAAAAUCAUCAUCUCCACUUGCUAAUUUUGCUACAAAUUUCUCCUCAGUAGCUCCUGCCUCUUAGCAGAAUUCUUUCCAGUCCCCUUGUCCUCUUUUAUUUGCCAUCAGCGAGGGCUGUGCUGUGAUUCUGUCUCUGAGUGACUUGGACCACUGACUCUCAGAUUUCCAGCCUUAAAAUUCACCUUCCUUCUCAUGCGUCUCUGCCUCUCUGAAUCACACCCUGGCCGUUCCAGCCUCCAUGUCCAGAUCUUCUCAGUCUCUUUCCAUCACUCCUGCCCCUACCAUCGGUCACAGAGUAACAUCUGAGAAAGACACCCUGCAUAUUCUUUCAGUUUGUGUUUGCUUCUCCCGCAUAUUCUCUUCAAUGCUCAGGAAGCCUGACCGAUGCUUGUGAGUUCAGGGCCAGACACACUUGCAGGCCUCCACCCUGGGUCCCUGUCUCUGGUGCCCACAGAGAACUCCUUUGCUGAUCAGGCAUGGAGACCACAGGUUUCCAGAUUUCCUUUAAAGUAAAAUUUUACAGACUUAUCUCUCCACAGCCUCACUAAAUGAUGGACCAAGAAUUCUGUCAUCUGGCUACUCAAGGCUAUUAGGGAAUGGGGCAGGUUUGUACACUGGCAACUGGCCAGGAGGAAGGCGGCUGGACGUGGGAGGAGUGUUAGUCAAGCUGUAGCAUCUCAAGAAUGGGAAAAGUGGCCAAAAAUCCUCCAGAAUGCUUGACCUGUCGAACCAGAAUGUUUUUCUCUUUAGUCUUGGCCUAUAUACAUGCACUUAAGCAGCAAGUAAUCAUGGGCAUGCUGACAAAGAAACACUUCUGUUUCCUGGUUAGUCUCUGGCUGGUCUUGAGGAAGCACUCAGUUGUCUUCAAUGACUUUCUAAGCAUGAUGGGGACAGCGAGGUAGGCAGCCAGAGCAGACGAUUUCAAUCAUGGAGCCCCAGAUCCAUGUACAUGAGAAGGGGGAAGGCAGUUGUAGCUCUGGUUCCAAGGACAGCAAGACAGGACUGUGUGUUAUCCCUUGAGGGACCAUUGCCACCAACCAGUGGGCGCUGAACCUUAAAAGGAUAAAAGACAUCCUAUUUAGUGUUCUGUA